GGAAAAUUCUUUAUGUUGAAUCAACAUCUGUCUCACUAGAAUUUGCACUCAUUGGAGACAUACAGAAUAAAAUGCCCAGUACUGCUUCCACAAAUAUUUGAGGACUACUAACACAUUUCCUUCCUCCGCUCCUUCCACAAGGCUUCUUUUCUUCCAGUGAAGCCUGCCCAGUGAUUUCAAACAGGGAGACAGUGUAGUGUAGUGGAAAGAACGCUACCUGGGCAACCAGCACGU
rfam:Procavia capensis cont1.225306, whole genome shotgun sequence.